UCACCUAGCCUAGGAAGCUGGGCUGUAUGUGCCCCAGGUCAUGGAGCUGCUUCCCAUCUGCUAUUUCUUCAGGGAUGGAAUCUUUUCUGAAGCACCUAUUAUCCCUGCACAUGGUGGAGUGGAAAUUGCCAACAGAUCCUCAUAAAAAGCAGUUCCCAUACCUUUUUCUUGUCCCCAAAUGCUUUUUGCAGAUAAUAGCGAUACAUCUCUCCACAAUUGUUUCUGUGGUACUGAAGUGUGCUGGAGUAAGACGGCAUGAGUGCUAGCCCCCCAGGGAGAGAGAGGACCUUCAUGAAAAUGAGAUGUGGAUCUUGUCAAGCUACUCAGCAUGUGCAAAAUUUUAUCUAGACAAGCCAUGGGUCUUUAUUCUGCAAGAUCUGAAACUUAUCAAGAGUUUAUCUUGAGGCAUCUGAAGAAGUGGGUUUUUUACCCACAAAAGCUUAUCCCCA